rnacentral:rRNA from 1 species
UUCGAUUCUGGCUCAGGAUGAACGCUGGCGGCGUGCUUAACACAUGCAAGUCGAACGGAGUUUUUAAGUGGAAGUUUCGGAUGGAAGUUUAAAAACUUAGUGGCGGACGGGUGAGUAACGCGUGGGUAACCUGCCUCAUACAGGGGGAUAACAGUUAGAAAUGACUGCUAAGACCGCAUAAUAUAGCGAAACCGCAUGAUUUUGCUAUCAAAUAUUUAUAGGUAUGAGAUGGGCCCGCGUCUGAUUAGCUAGUUGGUGGGGUAAAAGCCUACCAAGGCGACGAUCAGUAGCCGGCUUGAGAGAGUGACCGGCCACAUUGGGACUGAGACACGGCCCAAACUCCUACGGGAGGCAGCAGUGGGGAAUAUUGGACAAUGGGGGAAACCCUGAUCCAGCGAACCGCCGCGUGAGUGAAGAAGUAUUUCGGUAUGUAAAGCUCUAUCAGCAGGGAAGAUAAUGACAGUACCUGACUAAGAAGCCCCGGCUAACUACGUGCCAGCCGCUGC